AUUUUCCAAUAUCUCUUUGGUCUUCUCCCGAUUCAUCUACCUCUGCAAAAACAAUUUUACUCAAUUUUUUUCAGCUUUCCUCCUUCUCUCCUUACUCACUAUAUAAGACGGUGGUUGAUUUACGAAAGAUUCCUCUCACUAAAACCACCAGAUCUCUUCAUGGCCUCCGGGGAAAACGAGUAGUUAGUAACGGCGUUCGGUUUUGGUUCCAUCACUUUACCUCUGUAUACAGUUUACUGUAAAAAUAAAUUAUUCCUUCAUAUUUGGUGAGUCACUGAACGCCUUGCUCCUGGUACAUAAAAAACAUUACUUAACUUUUGUACACUUUUCUUUGAAAAGUGUUCUUCGGAGUUGUCUGUGAUUUCUUUUUUUUUUGAUAUUUUUAUCAUAUUGUGAGAGAGAUGGAGGACUUCGAGUUCCAUCACUGGUGGAGCCUACGGUUAAAGUUUAGUUCAUUAUUUCACUUCCUCUGUUUCAGAUCUUUGGUUUUGUAACUGGUGAAAGCUCUUGAUCUGGUGUUUAAUUAGGUUGUUGGAGAUUUAAAAGGAGGAGAUGACGCUUUACAGGAGAGGAUUUGUCAUCUGUUUUUUCAGGGACCAACGGAAAAUGGGCAAAUUGAUGUUCACUUUCAGGAUCUGUAUAGCGCAAGAACAACGUUCGAGCAGGCCCGACUUCAUUUGGUCAUCACUUUUUCUUAUGCUAUGAGAAUUUCCAAGAUAUUUCCUUUGCUUCAAGCUGCGAGUCAACACCAUCACAUGUAGAAACUAAAUGAGGAUCAUGGUGUGUAUUGCCUCUCUCUCUCUCUCAAAUACUUGAAACAGAAAUCUUUAGCUCAUUCAAGUCGAAGGCUUUAUCUAGAGUUCCCUAAAUGAGCUUUUGCUACAAUAUAUGUACAUGUUUUGUUUUCUUACAGGUUAUAUCGUUUUUGUUAACGGCUUAUGCUCAAACAUCCAUGCGGCAGAUUUUCCUCUUCCAUGUUAUUCUCAUAAGAAAGAUGAAAUCUUCGAUUUCUAUUCGUCUGAAAGCCCAAAACAAACGUUGAUCUCGAAGUUUAUGUGCAGCAGAUGAGAAUCAGCAGGGACUAUCCAUAAAGAUAUAAGGAGAUGGGCAUUCAACUUCUUCCACGCUGAUCAACAAGAAACCAGGUUUCUAUGGAAGCAUAAACCCACGGAAACUGAUCACUUUAAGCUGAUAUGGAUGAAUGCAGACCUCUGUGUAAGAGGACAUAGCGUUUGAUGCGUUGUGUUAUCAGAUCUGGUUGAAGAUUUAGAGGAUGGGGAUCGUACUUCUCAGCCAAAGGACAAAGUUGUGACAUGGAACCUGCCAUUUCGAAGUGAUACCUCAUAUUUGGUCCUGUCUACAACAUAAGAGAAGUACGGAGUUAGGUACUCGAGGCUGAGAUACUUACAUGAUGCAAAAGAGGUUAUCAUAAGCCAUGGGGCGGAUCUCAUCUCAGGUAUUAUUCCCUGAUCUCCACUCAACGAAACCUGACGCGUAACAGAAGGAAUCAGAGGACAACAAGGCCAGUGGUGGAUCUGAUGAGAGAUUUUUCGUAUAGCCAUAUACAUAGCGGGUGGGAUAUGAACCAGUAGCUGUAAUGUUUUGCAUUAUCCUUGCAUUAUCAGUAAAUGACAAUUAGAAGUUACAGCUACUUGCCUUUUUCUUCUACGGUUAAGUUUAUCGUUGUUUUAACGUAAAAGAUAAAUCGGAAGAGUAGACGUGUUGAUAAUUCUGUAGUAGAGUCUUAGGUGUAUCUCUUUAGUUUGAGGGUUAGUUUCAGUAGAAUCUAUGUGCCAUCUUUUGGUUGUAUCUGGUGAAGCUGAAGUUCUUGGUGGGAAUAUGAAAAAGCAGAUAAUGGAUGAGUCUGAGAAUUUGAGUUUGAACUGACUGGUGCCGCCUCAUCCUCCACCGCUUCCACCAUCUCCAGGAUAUGAAUCAAGAGAGGUUGAGGGAGACAGCAUAACCUAAAAACAGAUCAACAAGUUCCCUCAUCCUCUUUGCUGCUAUUGAGGCUGCAGCUCAGAGGCCUAAUCUCCUUCUUGGUUUUGACAAUUCUUGUGAAGGUUUUAUAUCACUGAAGAGGAAAAUCAAAAUUUUCUCGAGUUUUUAUAAUCUUCUGCUAUAGAUUGGGUAGAGCCUCUUUAGAUCAAAAUAAUUAUGAAGGUCGAUAUCAAUAUCUAUUGGUGUCUAUUGGAGAUUCAAAUUUUUAUGUACGGUUACAAUAAUAUGAGUUCAACUUUCAAGUCUAGGAAA